CAAAAUCACUUUUUCGGAAAUCACUUUUUCAGAAGCUAGGCCAAACAGGCCCUAAGUUUGGAUUCUAUAAUAGGGUAUUCGGAGGCUAGAGAAUAUCUUUGCUCGCAGGUUCGACAAGAGUCGACAACGAUUCGAGCCUUCCGCAACAGGAAAUGCUAGGGUUCCUGGCAAGGGGUCAGCGGCUAGCUAGAGACUCUUCGAUGUUAAAUAGAUGAAACCAUACAAGCUUAUUCUAGUUUAGUUCAGAGAUGUAUAUUGGGACUAUUUAGAAUGUACUUUAUACUUUAUUUCUAAGUUGUAAUUUGGUUUUGUGUUGGUAUAAGCUUAUGAACUUUUAGUUUUACUCUAAUUACCUGGUUAUGAAUUAUGCUUUUGUUAUAUUGAUUGUAGACGCCUAGUGUACACUAGAGGUGGUGGUGUACAUGGCGGGUCUGUGCACGCGGCUGGUGAGCUUCGGCUGAAGUCCAAGGCGUGACAGGCACUCUCCUUCGGCACUCUCCCCUGGCCGCCUAUACCUGUUAGCGUCGGCUCUGUGCGCGUGGAAUUGCAGACAAGCUUAGAUGAUUCCAUACUUUUGUUAAUUAAUUAUUAUGAAGAGUUUGUUAUAGUUGAUAUAAUAGAACGUUGCAUUGUAUGCAAAUCCUGUUUGUAUGUUACAAAAUACUAUAAAAUCGUGUAAUCUGCAUCAAAGAAAAUGUAAUCCUUGCUCACUGAUUAAUAGAUUGCUUACGAACG